CUAGAGAUAGAAAGUUACUUCGGUACAUCGGUGACAGGUGUGCAUGGUUGUCGUCAGCUCGUGUCGUGAGAUGUUGGUUAAGUCCCGCAACGAGCGCAACCCCUAUUGUUAGUUGCCAUCAUUCAGUUGGGCACUCUAGCGAGACUGCCGGUAAUAAACCGGAGGAAGGUGGGGAUGACGUCAAAUCAUCAUGCCCCUUAUGACCUGGGCUACACACGUGCUACAAUGGUUGGUACAACGAGUUGCGAGUCGGUGACGGCGAGCUAAUCUCUUAAAGCCAAUCUCAGUUCGGAUUGUAGGCUGCAACUCGCCUACAUGAAGCCGGAAUCGCUAGUAAUCGCGGAUCAGCAUGCCGCGGUGAAUACGUUCCCGGGCCUU
rnacentral:rRNA from 1 species